UACGUAGGGUGCGAGCGUUAAUCGGAAUUACUGGGCGUAAAGCGUGCGCAGGCGGGCUUUUAAGCCAGACGUGAAAUCCCCGGGCUUAACCUGGGAAUGGCGUUUGGGACUGGGAGUCUGGAGUACGGCAGAGGAGACUGGAAUUCCUGGUGUAGCAGUGAAAUGCGCAGAUAUCAGGAAGAACACCAAUGGCGAAGGCAGCUCUCUGGGACGGUACUGACGCUGAGACGCGAAAGCGUGGGGAGCGAACAGG
rnacentral:rRNA from 1 species